GUGGGGAAUCUUAGACAAUGGGCGCAAGCCUGAUCUAGCCAUGCCGCGUGAGCGAUGAAGGCCUUAGGGUUGUAAAGCUCUUUCGUGGGGGAAGAUAAUGACGGUACCAGCAGAAGAAGCCCCGGCUAACUCCGUGCCAGCAGCCGCGGUAAUACGGAGGGGGCUAGCGUUGUUCGGAAUUACUGGGCGUAAAGCGCGCGUAGGCGGACUGAAAAGUUGGGGGUGAAAUCCCGGGGCUCAACCUCGGAACUGCCUUCAAAACUAUCAGUCUGGAGUUCGAGAGAGGUGAGUGGAAUUCCGAGUGUAGAGGUGAAAUUCGUAGAUAUUCGGAGGAACACCAGUGGCGAAGGCGGCUCACUGGCUCGAUACUGACGCUGAGGUGCGAAAGCGUGGGGAGCAAACAGGAUUAGAAACCCCGGUAGUCC
rnacentral:rRNA from 1 species